rnacentral:rRNA from 1 species
AUUGAACGCUGGCGGCAGGCCUAACACAUGCAAGUCGAACGAGUGGCGGACGGGUGAGUAAUGUCUGGGACACUGCCUGAUGGAGGGGGAUAACUACUGGAAACGGUAGCUAAUCCCGCAUACCUUACACUGUGCCCAGUAGGGAUUAGCUUGUUGGUGGGUUAACGGCUCACCAAGGCGCCGCUCCCUAGCUGGUCUGAGAGGAUGACCGGCCACACUGGAACUGAGACACGGUCCAGACGCCUACGGGAGGCAGCAGUGGGGAAUAUUGCACAAUGGGCGAAAGCCUGAUGCAGCCAUGCCGCGUGUAUGAAGAAGGCCUGCGGGUUGUAAAGUACUUUCAGCGGGGAGGCGUUACCCGCAGAAGAAGCACCGGCUAACUCCGUGCCAGCAGCCGCGGUAAUUC